UGCAAGUCGAGCGGUAACAGGUGUAGCAAUACAUGCUGACGAGCGGCGAACGGGUGAGUAAUGCUUCGGAAUCUACCCAGUAGUGGGGAAUAACUAAUCGAAAGGUUAGCUAAUACCGCAUACGUCCUACGGGAGAAAGCGGGGGUCGCAAGACCUCGCGCUAUUGGAUGAGCCGAAGUCGGAUUAGCUAGUUGGUGAGGUAACGGCUCACCAAGGCGACGAUCCGUAGCUGGUCUGAGAGGACGACCAGCCACACUGGAACUGAGACACGGUCCAGACUCCUACGGGGGCAGCAGUGGGGAAUAUUGGACAAUGGGGGAAACCCUGAUCCAGCGACGCCGCGUGCGUGAAGAAGGCCUGCGGGUUGUAAAGCACUUUUAGUGGGGAUGAAAAGUUCAGGGCUAAUAUCCUUGGGCAUUGACCUAACCCACAGAAAAAGCACCGGCUAACUCUGUGCCAGCAGCCGCGGUAAUACAGAGGGUGCAAGCGUUAAUCGGAAUUACUGGGCGUAAAGCGUGCGUAGACGGUUCCGUAAGUCGGGUGUGAAAGCCCCGGGCUCAACCUGGGAAUUGCAUUCGAGACCGCGAAGCUAGGGAACGGAAGAGGGAAGCGGAAUUUCUGGUGUAGCGGUGAAAUGCGUAGAUAUCAGAANNACAUCAGUGGCGAAAGCGGCUUCCUGGUCCAGUUCCNACGUUCAAGCACGAAAG
rnacentral:rRNA from 1 species